rnacentral:misc_RNA from 1 species
GAUGAAGAACGCAGCGAAAUGCGAUAAGUAAUGUGAAUUGCAGAAUUCAGUGAAUCAUCGAAUCUUUGAACGCACAUUGCGCCCGCCAGUAUUCUGGCGGGCAUGCCUGUUCGAGCGUCAUUUCAACCAUCAAGCCCCAGGCUUGUGUUGGGGACCUGCGGCUGCCGCAGGCCCUGAAAACCAGUGGCGGGCUCGCUGUCACACCGGGCGUAGUAGAUUUUAUCUCGCUCAGGGCGUGCUGCGGGUUCCGGCCGUUAAAAAGCCUUUUUUACCCAAGGUUGACCUCGGAUCAGGUUGGAAGACCCGCUGAACUUAAGCAUAUCAAUAAGCGGAGGA